rnacentral:rRNA from 1 species
AUGAAUAUUCUGGCCUGGAACUAUCGAGGACUGGGGUUGGACUCGACAGUGGGCGAAUUGAGAGACCUGGUACGGUCCUACAACCCAGCGGUGGUUUUUCUUUCAGAGACAAAAAAGAAGGGUCAGGCUAUGGAAAAACUUAAGUGGAGCCUUGGAUUUCGUAAUGGUGUGGCCGUGGAUAGUGUGGGACAGAGCGGAGGUUUGGCCUUGUGGUGGCGAGACCAUGUUCAAGUCACCGUAUGUCCGUGGUGUCAGUAUUUUCUUGAUGCGGCGGUUGAUGUGGACGGAAAAACUUUUAGAAUCACUGGAUUCUAUGGUGAACCAAAGACGGAUUUGCGUAAGAAAUCUUGGGACGCUCUACGCUAUUUAAGGGGCCAGGACAGCCUGCCCUGGAUUUGUGUAGGUGAUUACAAUGAAGCUCUCUUUCAAACCGACCAACGAGGCGGCAACCCAAGGUGUUUCCAGCAGAUGGAGGACUUCAGAGACUGCUUAGCCGAGUGUGGUCUAGAUGAUCUAGGAUUCUUGGGAUAUCCUUAUACAUGGGACAAUAAGCGGGAUGGUGCAGCAAAUAUCCAAGUCCGUCUGGAUCGUGCAACAUGCAAUGAUGGAUUUUUGUAA